AGAUGGCGACCAUUAAGCACGAGGUACAGUAGCUCUAAUUGGGAACAACUCUUGAAGAAAAUAGACACGGUUAUAUUGAUAAAAUAUUUAAAUAAUAAAAUUCAACUGACAGGAGCAUGUUAUGAUAUGCCGGAGUAGAGAGAUGGCGAAUGAAUACCACUGAAAGGGUCAUUACUCGAAGUCGAUGUUCAAAAGAAGAAUCCGACAUGCACAGUAAUUAACAUCGUAUUUAUGCCUUCUCAUCAACGAAAUCACCACUGAGCGGUGGAUGUUAUUUGACCUGGAUGGCCUCCAACACCAACUUUUUUACCGACAAAGAGACCAAUAACUGGAUCUAGGCUUCCAUAGCACUCAAUGUGACGAAGGAAGGACUAGCUAACUUUCUAAACACAGAAUUACAGAAUUUACACGCCGUUGUUGGAAGAUGUUGUGGAAACUGUUCAAUUCAAAAACUCAUACAAUGUCCAACAAACCCAUAUUGUAACAAGAGGAAACGGAAUUAUUGUCCUUUUCACAAAUCACAGAAACCACAGCCAUGCCCAAUAUGUGAUAAUGUAAAAUUUAAUCUCAUAUUACAGCACAGAUACGGUAGUCCUUCCUGGAGAAACAUUUGUGCGGAAAAGUUGGCGUCAGACUAUUGGGAAAUAGGCAAAUGCUUCUUCCCUCCGGAUGGAUAUAGCAACGUUUCUUCGGUCCAAGAAUCAGACUUUAAUGGCGUUAUAAGCAUCAUGUUGAAUUGCCUACAUUUCCAGACAUGUCUGUCUCCCUUAUGUUUAUUUCCUUCACCGCCUGAUAAGCAAUGUCCACUAGAAAAGGUACGUCAGAUCGGCCGAGAGAUACGUCACACAGCCAACUGCAAGAUUACAGAUGCUGACCUGCAGGACUAUUUCCAUACACUGACAACGCUACUGGCUGACCCAAUCUGCUUACAGCAUGAUCCCUCAGCAGUGAUAGCAUGCACGAGACUAAGAGAUUUGCAGAGUGAUCGUAUGUCAAUCACAGAGGUGGGCGAUCUGUUUAAAGAGUUCAAUCAAAUGCUUAAUCCUUCGAUAAAGGCGGGUGGAAGUUUUAUUGAAAUGGCAGAAAGAUCAGUGCCAAAAAUUAUAGAAAAAAAUGUAUAUGCUUUGGGAGCAACGUCUUGAAAAGGAGACUCAGGCUGGGCAACAACGCCUUAAAAGCAAGACAAAAGUAGGGGAACAUCGCCUUGAAAGGAUGACGCAAAUUGGAGAGCGCAUGAAACAGGCAGCGAAUGAAACUGCACAAGCAGAAUACGAGCGAGAUGAAGCAGAACAGAGACCAAAAACGACAUGCACUCAUACGGAAGUUGAACACGAAAUCAAAAAGAUAGACAAACAUAUUCAUGAUGGCAGGCUUGUCAAGCUAAGUCCAGCAUAUGUUGAGCAUGUGAAAGACUGCUUGAGUGACCCGGGCUCUAUCGAAAAAGGGGGAUAUGGAACUGUUU